AUCAGUUCUUAGUGAGUUAUUGAUCAGUUAUUGAUCUGUUAUUGAUCUGUUAUUGAUCAGUUAUUGAUCAGUUCUUGGUGAGUUAUUGAUCAGUUAUUGAUCUGUUAUUGAUCUGUUAUUGAUCUGUUAUUGAUCAGUUAUUGAUCAGUUCUUGGUGAGUUAUUGAUCAGUUAUUGAUCUGUUAUUGAUCUGUUAUUGAUCUGUUAUUGAUCAGUUCUUAGUGAGUUAUUGAUCAGUUAUUGAUCUGUUAUUGAUCUGUUAUUGAUCUGUUAUUGAUCAGUUAUUGAUCAGUUCUUGGUGAGUUAUUGAUCAGUUAUUGAUCUGUUAUUGAUCAGUUACUGAUCUGUUAUUGAUCUGUUAUUGAUCAGUUCUUGGUGAGUUAUUGAUCAGUUAUUGAUCUGUUAUUGAUCAGUUCUUGGUGAUUUACUGACUAACCAAGAGGCAGGACUGGGUACAGAGUGAUGAGUUGUCUGACAUCAGACAGAGACGGCGUCGGUUCAAUGUUCAACUGUCAGAGAGUCGAGCCCAGGUAACUGUACUCACCUGGAGACAGACAGACAGACAGACAGACAGACAGACAGACCACCAAAAUAAGACUGCAGUUACAGCUGUCUCCCUGCAGAGGAACCCUGUUUGUUUAUUUAUUAUUAUUAUUUAUUAUGUAUUUGUUGUUGUUAUCGAUGUAGUCUGAGAGCUUGAUGUUCAUUGGUUGGAUGAGUAAACCCUCCAGAAUAAGCUCCUCACACAGAGACUGCAAAGACCUGAGAGACCAACCAAUCAGAACUCAGAACACAGAGACAGGAACCAAUCAGAGCCCAAAACACAGAGACAGGAACCAAUCAGAACUCAGAGACAGGAACCAAUCAGAACCAAUCAGAACUCAUAACACAGAGACAGGAACCAAUCAGAGCCCAAAACACAGAGACAGGAACCAAUCAGAACUCAGAGACAGGAACCAAUCAGAACUCAGAACACAGAGACAGGAACCAAUCAGAACUCAGAACACAGAGACAGGAACCAAUCAGAACUCAGAGACAGGAACCGAAUUGAACUCAAUUGAAUUAAUGUUAAAUGUUAAUGUUAAAGAGUUCGGUCUAGACCUGCUCUAUUUGAAAAGUGUCCUGAGAUAACUUCUGUUAUGAAUUGGCGCUAUACAAAUAAAAUUGAAUUGAAUUGAAUUGAAUUGAACCAUCAGAACUCAGAGACAGGAACCAAUCAGAACUCAAAACACAGAGACAGGAACCAAUCAGAGAGAAUGUCCCAACAGGUAAACUCACCUGUCUGCUGUCAGGUCUUUCUCUCUUUUCUUCUUCUUGGUUUUCUUCUUCUUCUACAAACAAAACAAAGUUGCAUUCAGUGUUUGUUGAGACUCUGCCCAUCUGGGAGGUCCAAUGCACAGAAACAAACGCACACUGAUCAGGAGGAGCCAUUUAGUGACCCUGACCUUUCUGUCUCCUUUCUUGGUCGUCUUCUUUUUGUCAAUCACCGAUUUGAGGUUUUUUAGCUCCACCCUGAUCAGCUCGUCCACCUGACAAACCAAACGCACCCACAACUUUAAACAACAGGCACCAGCCUGGAAACCUGGAAUAAUAUCCUGGAACAUCAGCCUGGAAAUAUCCUAGAGAUUACACUGUAAACAAUAUUAAAUUAUCAGGCUGUAAGAAAUCAAAAACACUGUAAAAAAUGACUGCUGAUGAUUUUACUGUAAAAAUAACAACCCAAACAUACACUGUUAAAAAUACCCUGUAAAGAAUUACAACCAGGUUUAAACACUGUUAAAAAUACCCUGUAAAGAAUUACAACCAGGGCUUAAACACUGUUAAAAAUACCCUGUAAAGAAUUACAACCAGGUUUAAACACUGUUAAAAAUACCCUGUAAAGAAUUACAACCAGGUUUAAACACUGUAAAAAAUACCCUGUAAAGAAUUACAACCAGGUUUAAACACUGUAAAAAAUAACCUGUAAAGAAUUACAACCAGGUUUAAACACUGUUAAAAAUACCCUGUAAAGAAUUACAACCAGGUUUAAACACUGUUAAAAAUACCCUGUAAAGAAUUACAACCAGGGCAAACACUGUAAAAAAUACCCUGUAAAGAAUUACAACCAGGGCAAACACUGUAAAAAAUACCCUGUAAAGAAUUACAACCAGGUUUAAACACUGUUAAAAAUACCCUGUAAAGAAUUACAACCAGGUUUAAACACUGUUAAAAAUACCCUGUAAAGAAUUACAACCAGGGCAAACACUGUUAAAAAUACCCUGUAAAGAAUUACAACCAGGUUUAAACACUGUUAAAAAUACCCUGUAAAGAAUUACAACCAAGGCAAACACUGUUAAAAAUACCCUGUAAAGAAUUACAACCAGGUUUAAACACUGUUAAAAAUACCCUGUAAAGAAUUACAACCAGGUUUAAACACUGUAAAAAAUACCCUGUAAAGAAUUACAACCAGGUUUAAACACUGUUAAAAAUACCCUGUAAAGAAUUACAACCAGGUUUAAACACUGUUAAAAAUACCCUGUAAAGAAUUACAACCAGGUUUAAACACUGUUAAAAAUACCCUGUAAAGAAUUACAACCAGGUUUAAACACUGUAAAAAAUAACCUGUAAAGAAUUACAACCAGGUUUAAACACUGUUAAAAAUACCCUGUAAAGAAA
rnacentral:lncRNA from 15 species